GAUGAACGCUGGCGGCGUGCCUAAUACAUGCAAGUCGAGCGAACGGACGAGAAGCUUGCUUUUCUGAUGUUAGCGGCGGACGGGUGAGUAACACGUGGAUAACCUACCUAUAAGACUGGGAUAACUUCGGGAAACCGGAGCUAAUACCGGAUAAUAUUUUGAACCGCAUGGUUCAAAAGUGAAAGACGGUCUUGCUGUCACUUAUAGAUGGAUCCGCGCUGCAUUAGCUAGUUGGUAAGGUAACGGCUUACCAAGGCAACGAUGCAUAGCCGACCUGAGAGGGUGAUCGGCCACACUGGAACUGAGACACGGUCCAGACUCCUACGGGAGGCAGCAGUAGGGAAUCUUCCGCAAUGGGCGAAAGCCUGACGGAGCAACGCCGCGUGAGUGAUGAAGUUCUUCGGAUCGUAAAACUCUGUUAUUAGGGAAGAACAUAUGUGUAAGUAACUGUGCACAUCUUGACGGUACCUAAUCAGAAAGCCACGGCUAACUACGUG
rnacentral:rRNA from 1 species